AGAGGGCUAGAAACUGACUUUUAUUACCUAAGUUCCUGAGUAAAAAAUCUACUCAAAGAUGAGGGUCUUCGGAUUAGAGGUUUCUCUGGAGAGCGUGACUUGAAAGAGGCAAGGGAGAACCCUCCUCGGGCCACGUGUUCUGCCUUGAUCGGUGUGGUGGUUAUAAAUGGAAAAGUAGACAGCAUAUUUAAAAGACGGUGCUAGUCAGCGUUGUGUUACUGCAAUUAAUACCUGGGAUAAUUAAUUUAUAAAGAAGUAGGGCGCUUGGGAGGGAGGGAGGGAUGGGGAGAGAGAGAGAGAGGAAGGAGGAGAAAAAGAAGGAAGGAAACAUUUACAAAAGAGAGGAGGAAGGAGGAGAAAGAAGGAAAGACGGAAGGAAAAAGAAAAAGAGGAAGUGAGGAAGGAAGGAAGAGGCAGUGUUUUAUGCUCAGUCACUGGAUGAGAUACUCAACAUCCACGCCGUACAGGAGGAGAAGUUUAUUCUGGCUCACAGUCUGUUUUCUGCCCAUACACAGGCGGUUCCAAGGCGGAGUGGUCCUGGUGAAGGGCCCGGGAACGGGAGAGCUGCUCAUCUCAUGGGACCCAGGAAGCUCAGCAAACAGCCCAGAGUCUGCAGGGAGCGAAACCUUUCUAGGCCGCCCCCGUGACCUACGUCUUCCUCCCAGCAAGUCAGCUGUGGCCCCAUAUGAAUAUCUAGAGGUUAUACAAUACCAGCAGUAUUGUCAUGAAGGCCAUUUUCCAAAACUGCAGAAAACUGUGAAAAUAUAAUUUAAGUGAGAAGUCCAGAUGCCUGGGAAGCCUUGAAGGGAACAAUGAAAGUCUGACGAGUGAGACGGACUGUGUGACACUGAGGAUGUCACUCCUAUUAAAAGCCUACCUGGUUUGUCUAAAAGAUACCAGAUACUGAAGAGGGACAGUGAUCUUUGAGUCCCCAGGUAUGCGUGGCAUUCUGUGCCUACCUCGGCAAAAAGCAGCAAUUUGUGUUUGCUGUAAAGAUCUCUAAAUACUGUCUCAUGGAGGCUCAUUUUUAAUUGUCGCCAGCCUCAGGGGAACGUGUGAUUGAGUCUUCAGUGCUGCUCGUGUUGGACGUGUGAGAUGCAGGAAGG
rnacentral:lncRNA from 1 species